rnacentral:rRNA from 1 species
CAGCCGCCACGGGAAUACGUAGGUGGCAAGCGUUGUCCGGAAUUAUUGGGCGUAAAGGGCUCGCAGGCGGUUUCUUAAGUCUGAUGUGAAAGCCCCCGGCUCAACCGGGGAGGGUCAUUGGAAACUGGGAAACUUGAGUGCAGAAGAGGAGAGUGGAAUUCCACGUGUAGCGGUGAAAUGCGUAGAGAUGUGGAGGAACACCAGUGGCGAAGGCGGCUCUCUGGUCUGUAACUGACGCUGAGGAGCGAAAGCGUGGGGAGCGAACAGGAUUAGAUACCCCCGUAGUCCCUGUCUCUUAUAA